rnacentral:lncRNA from 1 species
GUUAAGGUGUGUAAAGAGGAAAGGAGGAGGAAAACAGAGAAAGUAUGCAGAGAGAAAGAGACAGAGAGGGAUGAUCAAGCUCAUGAUGCAUAAAUGUACUUAUGGAGAAGCUGAACUUGACCCAACAUGGCCUGUAUCACAGGGCUGUUAAAGGAGGAGGAAAUAUGUCAUCAGCCAUGCUAAAACCAUUGAAAUAUCUGGGAAAGAAAUCAUCCUUAAGUCUCAACAAAUCAUCUUUAUACAGCAAUGCGUGUUAAGAAUUAAUUUAAGAAAUGAUCCUCAAGAGGCCAGAUGUGAACACUGUGCCAUCCUAAUCUAUUUUUUCCUGACUAUUAGGUUGAUAAUGGGGAUUCCUUUGCACAGUCAUUAUGCAUUGUUGUCAGUCUUGAGCCAGUUUUAUGACCUGUGUCCAAGA